rnacentral:lncRNA from 1 species
UUUUUUCUUUAUUGACCUCUACGUACAACAACUUUUUUUAAUCAAUGCACCACUUAAUUAAGAAGUAGCAUUUGGUGCUGAUGUUGUUGCAGCUCCAUCAAUCAAAUAUGGGACAACAAAUUGUUGCAUCUCUGGAAUAGUAAUUUCUAGGUGACGUCCUUGCGCCUUUAUGAACUUCACUUUUCCAGCUUUAUCCAAUGUUUGUAAUCCAAACAAAUCCUCUUUAUAAACAUUAGUCUGCCAAAAAAUAAAAGUAUAAAAAAAAUAUAUAUAUACUUUUAAAUUAAAGUAUAAAUAGAAAAAUAAUACUCAUAUUACUUGUUGUGCUGGCAAAAUUUGAGAGUAGGUUCCAUCUUGGUAAAAGCCAAACCAACAACUUUCUUUUGGAGUUACCACACUUUCUUUUUCAAACUGUAAAGAGAUUCAAAAUAAAAUGGGAUCAGUUAUUUAGUAAGUAAAUUAUUGAAUUAAUUUUUUUAAAGAAAAACAAAGAGGAUUAAAAUGUACCAUGACAAGGACAAGGUUCUGCAAGCUACUAAAACGCUGCUUAUAAAUUGGAUUAAAUGCGUUAGGAAUUUCAUUAUUAAGCUUUGGCAAAAAUUUACAACCGUUCAAGAAUCCAGCAAUAUCCUGAGAAGAAGAAAAAAGAACAAUUCAGAAUUUUUUAUUUUUUUUUUAAAUUUUAAGUAAGAAUAUAUAAAAAAAAAAAUGAGAUGAAAAAAGAAACAAGAAAUUACUCACAGUUGGAAUCCUGGUAUAACCACUAGGAGCAGAACGAGCCUAAAUUUGCAUAUUACUCUUAUGUUAGAAAGUAAUAGUAAUAAAAUUGCUAUUUUAAAAAAAAAAAAUUAAGAAAGCUUUUGAAAAGAGUGUACUUGGUAGUAGUCCGUGUAUAUUCCAGCUCCAGAACACUUGCCAUACUAUUAAUUAAAGAACACAAAUUAUUUUUUGCAAUUCAUAAUUGUAAAUAUUAUUCAUUAUACACUAAUAAUACAUUGGAUUAAAAAGAAGCUUUGAUAUUGCUGAAUCACAGAUUAAUAAAAAGGACGAGAGUCAAUUUUCAUGUAGAACCGUAUGCAUAAAAAAUGCAUGUACGGUUAUUCAAUUGUAUCUUCUUCUUUUUUUUCUGCUUUAUCAUGCAAAAUAGGAGAAGCUAAAAGAUUUUUUUUAUAUACUAUUAUUGUUGUUUAAGACAAUAGUUAGUUGUCAUUCUGAAAAGCUUAUAUCAAAUUUACUUAUAGUUGAGAUACACGCCUAUAAUAAGUACUUUAUAGAGUAAUAAAUUUAGACAAUCUUUUUAUACCAUCAAUAUGUAAAAGUUUAAAUUAUUUUUUAUUACUUUUUUUUAUUCAGUGUUUGACAUCUAUUUAUGAGGUCAAUUAAAUUCAGAUCUCUUAUAACAUUUCCUAAUAAAAAUAACUUCAUAAUCAGGACUUAUUUUCGAGAUUUAUGAAUAUUAUCAUAUGCUGUUCUUACUACUAAUUAAUUCGAUGUUAUAAAAUUACAUACAGGGCAGGAAGAUGCUGCAGGAGCAACACCAGCAUUCGGACCACCAAUUGAGAUAAAAUUCUUGACCUGUGUAGCACAAUUUAGUUUCAAAAAAUCACAAAUAAAAAAUAAUAAUUAAAUAAAUACUAUAAAUAAUAAAAAAAUAUAUUGUUAAAAUUCUCACCGGAGGUGCUCCAUCACAAAACUCUAUAAGCCCUCUGCCUACCAUAUUUCCCUGGAAAAAAAAAAGUGAAUAGAUAAACAAAAUAUAGUUUGACACAUUUUUUUUCUUAAAAAAAAAAAAAAAACGAAAUGAAAAAUAAAGGAGACAUAUUUAUGAUUAUAGAUGAAUAUUUACCUGUGAAAGACCAACUAAAUUGUAACCUUGUUGAAGUUCCUUCAUUCCCUUCACCUGUAAUAUAAUUCACAGUCAAAUCUCUCUAUAUGUUUCUCCUUUCUUCUUUUUUCAUUUAUUUAGUAUUUUAUUCUAUAAGGAAUCCCCCCCUCCCCCCACCCCCAACAAAAAAGAAAAGAGAAUAAUGUAGUGGAGGAUUAUUACCUUUUCACAAGCAAUUUGAACCUACAAAUACAUCAUAAGCGAAAAAAGGGGCACAAAUUACAUCAUGAGCAUAUGAUCCAAUCAAAAUAAUGAGCAAGCUGUGAAAAUAUUAGUACUUUCUUCGAUUUACAUUAGUUGAUCAUCUUACUAAAAAUAUAUGUCCCAAAUUAUUUAUCCACUUAUUAAAUCAAAAUGAAAUUGCUUAAAAUUUUCUCAUUUUAGCCUUAUAAUUAAUAUUAUGUGAAAGUGUAAAACUAAGUUUGUAAAUGUCCAAGAAAUUAUUUUAAGGGAUUUAUUAAUAAAAUUAUUUUUUUAUUUAUAAUUUCUUAAGAAACGUAUAAAAGUUAAAAAUGAUCAACUAGAACAGAGAUUAUUUUUUAUCAAACUGUCACCUGUGUUUCUAGAGGCAUAUAAACGGAAUCAUGUGCUCCAUUUCCAAUUUCUCUACCAAAAACAUCCAUACACUCAUAAAUGAUCAUAGUAACAGUAAUAAUAAGAUAUUAAUUAUUUAAGUACGUAUUAAGCGCUUAUCAAAUUUACCAAUAACAACCAUAAUAACGAGAAUUUAACUUACGUGUAUACUGAUAAUAUCAUGAAAAAGAAUUACACAAACAAGUUAAAGUUGACUGCAAUAGGAGUAACAAAUAUUCUUACACUAUCAGAAUUGGUGGCCAAAGUAUAAUAAUUCUAAUAACAAUGACAAUUAUGACGAAUUUGGAGGAGUUGUGAGAAUAUGAUUUUAGAUUAUUGUUUCAUGCAUUGGAAGCGGACUAUUUUGGGUAGAAAAAAAAAACAAAGAAAGAUGAUAAUAUUAAAAGUUGAAAAAAGAUAUUUAGAAAAUAAAUAACGUACAUGCAAUAACCCUUAGAUUUUGAUAAGAGACUCAAUUGUGACGUGUAAAAUGUACUUCCUGCAUCAUUACAAGACAUGGUAAUCCCUGCCAUGAAAAAGGAAAAAAACUCGUAAUUCUCCAAUUCUCAAAUUAAAGAGAAAGAAAGUAAAAUGAAUAAUAUAAAAUAAAGAAAUAAAGAAAGAAAGAUUGAUUACCAUGCAAUACUAUGAAAGGAGUGGAAGAAGAAAAACAAAUGGAACAAAAGAUUGCAAUGAUAAAAAGAAUAAAAUUUUCUGAACACAAAUAAGCCAUUUGAGCUUUCCUUUUUUUCUUCUCCAAAUAAAAUAUGAUUUCUUCUUUGUUUAAAGUUUUUAUUUUUUGUUGUUGCAAAGAAGAAAUGAAGAAAUGUGCAAAGUUCUUGGUUUCUUAAGUUGAAUAUAUAGGAGAGGAUUUAGAAUUUAAGUUUGUGGAUUUUCAAUAAAAAAAAAUUGCAAUAAAAUCGGGCAAAAUGAUUGAUCACUAGAAGUUGAAAGAAGAACCAAUGAAAGUUUCAUCCAGGAAAAAAAAACGUGAGGUUUUGCGUUUUAGAACAAAAAACAGAAAAGAUUUUUACUACAAAUAAUAAUAAUAAUAAAAAAGGAUUCUUAGAAUCUAAAAACGAAAAGGAGUUUGCCUAGUGAUUUCGAACCCACAUUCACAUUCACAAUUUGCCUAGGAAUUUCAGGAGUUCCUUACAUUCUGUUUGGAUGAAUAUAUCAUAUUGUUUCGUAACGUAUCGUAUUAUAUUAUAUUUUUAAUCAAUACAAAGUUCGAAUAGAUAGUAUCUUUUUCUAUCGUUACAUAAUUUCACACAUCAAUAAUUUGAAGGGUAAAUCUAUCAGAAAAUAAAGUAAGAUUCGGAAUAGAGCUACUAUAAAAAGGUAAGUAAAGGAUAAAAUAGAAUUAUUAAAAGAUAAUUAAAGAUAAAUAAAAAAAAAAUUAAGGUAAAUUAUGUGAUUGCACCAAAUCGAUAACAGCCAUCCAAAUAAAGUGUUACUCGUUACCAAACCAAUUUACCAAAACUACCCAUGUGGUUAUAAGUUCUCCUCUACAUAUACUUAUUCUCUUAAUAUAUUAUCUAUAUAAUUAUAAUAUAAUUAUAAACUUUAAGAUAGUAGGUGGAGUUCCGAAGAAACUCGAUCCUCUAUAAAUUUUGAAAUUUACUUUGUUUUCUUUAUACCAAUGGCCACAUGAGUUUGAUUUGACAAUUCCGAAAUUCUCGUUAAUCGAUUUGAUUUGUUAGCUUGUAAAUUAUAAUCAUGUCUAAUCCAAGCAAUAAAGGGUAUAUUUUACAGUAUGUUAUUAGAUCAUAAUUUAUUGGAAAAGUAAAAUAAAAUUAAAAAAACAAACAAAAUGGUUAAUGUUAUAAACUAAUAAAGAAUAAAGAAGAAGAGCAGAGAGAAUAGAGAGUAUUUCUUAUUUUACUUUAGGGAUGAAUUAUAAUGAGGAAAAAUUUCUUUAUUUAUAGGGGAAAACUACCCUUGAGUUUUGUAUCUUUUUCAUAAAUAGACAUACACAAUAUAUGGUAAAGUAGGUAUUCACUAUAUAUGGUAAAGUAGACAUUCAUUAUAUAUGGUACAUUUAUAACAUUUUCCCUUGAAUGUCUAAUUGAUAGAUAAUACGCAUAUAUACUGCCUCAUUAAAAACCUUACAAGGAAAACCCAGUGGAAUAAAACCUCGUUAGGGAAAAAAAGUACAACGCCUAUUAACUCCCUCUAAUGAGAACAUCCUUGAACCUUUGCAUUCCGAUCAUGUGUACCAUCUUCUUGAAAGUUGCAGUUGGAAGAGACUUGGUGAAUAGAUCAACCACAUUGUCACUUGAAUGAAUCUGUUGCACAUUAAUAUCACCAUUCUUUUGAAGCUUAUGUGCAUAGAAAAGCUUUGGCGAAAUGUGUUUCGUCCUAUCUCCUUUUACGAAUCCUUCCUUAAGUUGUGCUAUGCAUGCUGCAUUAUUUUCGUAUAAAAUUGUGGGUACUUUGUCAUAUUUCAAAACGCAUUUUUCUUGAAUGAGAUGUAUUAUGGACUUUAACCACACAUAUUCUCGGCUUGCUUCAUGAAUAGCUAUAAUCUCAGCAUGGUUCGAUGAGGUGGAUACGAUAGACUGCUUUGUAGAUCUCCAAGAUAUGGUAGUACCCCCCCCCCCAUAUGAACACAUAACCUGUUUGAGACCGAGCUUUAUGCAGAUCAGAUAAGUACCCAGCAUCAGCAUAACCAACAAGAUCGGGACUGCAAUCUUUAGAAUAAAAUAAGCUCAUAUCGAUAGUCCCUUUUAGAUACUGUAAUAUGUGUUUGAUCUCAUUUCAAUGUCUCCUAGUAGGAGCAGAACUAUACCUUGCUAAAAAAAUAAUUGAAAAGGUUAUAUCAGGCUUAUAGUAUUUGUAAGAUACAUUAGUGCACCAAUUGCACUAAGAUAUGGUAUUUCAAGACCAAGGAGUUCCUCGUUCUUUUCUUGAGGUCGGAAUGGAUCCUUGUUCACAUUAAGUGAUCGAACAACCAUCGGAGUACUUAAUGGAUGUGCACCAUCUAUAUAGAAUCUUUUCAACAUCUUUUCUGUGUAGGCAGAUUGAUGGAUAAAGAUACCAUUUGUCAAAUGCUCAAUUUGCAAACCAAGGCAUAAUUUUAUCUUUUCGAGAUCUUUCAUCUCAAAUUUUUUCUUUAGGUAAUUAAUUGCCUUUUGAAGCUCGAUUGGAGUUCCAAUAAGGUUUAUGUCAUCAACAUAGACAACAAGUAUAACAAACUCCGACGUUGUUUUCUUUAUAAAAACACAUGGGCAAAUUUCAUCAUAUGUAUAACCUUCCUUAGAUAAAUAUUCACUAAGACGGUUAUACCACAUGCGUUCAGAUUGCUUCAAAUCAUAUAAUGAUCUUUGCAAUCUAAUGGAAUACAUUUCUCGAGUCUUUGAACUAUAUGUUUUCAGCAUUUUAAAUCCUUCGAAAAUUUUUAUGUAUAUCUCAUUAUCAAGUGAUCCAUAUAGAUAGGUUGUUGUCACAUCCAUCAAAUGCAGUUUUAGUCUCUCAUGGACAGUGAAACUAAUAAGAUAACUCAAUGUUAUUGUGUCCAUAACUGGUGAAUAUGUCUCGUCAUAAUUGACAUCAGGCCGUUAUGAAAAAUCUUGUGCAACAAGGCGUGCCUUAUACCUUUGUAUUUCAUUUUUCUUUUUUUUUUUUUUUUUGCACAAAGACCAAUUUAUGGCCAACAGGCUUAACAUCAUUAGGUGUUUGAGUUAUAGGUCCAAAAGCUUCACGUUUGACAAGUGAAGUAAAUUCAUAUUGAAUUGCUUGCCAUUUUGACCAGUCAUUUCUUUGUCGACAUUCUAUGACAGAUCGAGGUUCAAGAUCCUUAUUGUCUUGCAUGAUUUUCGUUGCAACAUUAUAUGCAAAGACAUAAUCCACUAUUAUUUUAGAUUGAUUCAAAUUAAUUCCAACAUCACUUGAAUUUAAGGAUAGUUACUCAUUUUCUUCAGUCUCAGACUCAUUGAUUCCUUCAGAGAUAUCAACAUUGCUCAAAUCUUGAACUUCCAUAUGUGGAUCUUUCGUAGUGUCAUCUUGACCAUUUGUUUUUCUUUUUCUAGGAUUUCGAUCCUUAGAACUUAAUGAUCUACCACGCUUCAAGCGUGCUUUAGAUUCAUUAGUUAUGACACUAGUGGAUGGUCCUUUAGGGACAUCAAUUUGAAUUGGGACAUUCUCUGCAGGAAUAUGUGAUUUAGUGAUACUUUUUAAAUUUGUAAAUGCGCCUGGCAUUUGAUUUACAAUUUUCUACAGAUGAAUAAUCUUUUGUACUUCUUACUCACAAAUAGAAGCAUGUAGAUCAAGAUGAGAUAGUGAUGGAUUUUUUCACAAAAUUUCUCUUUUGAUGUCACUAUCUUCUCCUCCUAAUUUUGGAAAAACUAUCUCAUCAAAUCGAUAAUCUACAAAUCGAGCAGUGAUCAUAUCUCCCGUUAAUGGUUCAAGAUAGCAAAUAAUGGAGGGUGAUUCAAACCCAAAAUAAAUUCCUAAUCUUCUUUGGGGGACCAUCUUGGUGCGAUUUGGUGGUGCUAUAGGCACAUAUGCACCACAGCCAAAAGUUACCAAAUGAGAUAUAUUAGGCUCUUGACCCAAAACCAAUUGCAACGGAGAAAAUUUAUGAUAAUUUGUCGGUCUAUAACGAACAAGUGUUGCAGAAUGCAAAAUUGCAUGACCCCAAAUAGAAGUGGGCAACUUAAUUUUCAUAAGCAAUGGUCUUGCUAUCAACUACAGACGUUUAAUUAAUGACUCGUCAAGGCUAUUUUGAGUAUGAACAUGAGAUACAAGAUGUUCCACUCUUAUCCUAAUCGAUAAGCAAUAGUCAUUAAAUGCUUGGGAUGAAAAUUCUGCAGCAUUAUCAAGGCGAAUAGAUUUAAUCUGAUUAUCAGGAAACUGUAUCCGUAAUCGUAUUAGUUGUGCGAAUAAUUUUGCGAAUGCCAAGUUAGGAGAUGGCAAUAGGCACACAUGAGACCAUCUAUAAGAAGCAUCUAUUAGGACCAUGUAAAGUAUAUAAACGACCCACUAGGUGGGUGAAUGGGUCCACAAAUAUCCCCAUGUAUGCAUUCUAAGAAUGCGGGGGACUCAAUCCCAACUUUUAUUGGCGAUGGUCUCACAAUCAGCUUGCCUUGAUCACAAGCAUUGCAUGAAAAUUCACCAUUCGAAAGAACCUUGAAGUUCUUUAAUGGAUGCCCAUUUGAAUUUUCUAUGAUUCCUGUCAUCAUUAUAGAUCCAGAAUGUCAUCAAUUGUCUUAAUAUGAUAACCAUUUUCACGGAUAUCUUUAAAACUCAUCAAGUUUCUCCAAGACUUAGGAGAAAAUAUGACAUUAUUUAUGAUGAGUUUAGUUCCCUUGGGCAAGAUUAUAGUGGCUUUUCCGAAGCCUUCAAUCAAAUUAACACUACCAUAAAUUGUAGUAACAUUAAUCUUGCCCAUGUUUAGAUGAGAGAAAUAUUUAUCGUCUUUGAAUAUCGUAUGUGUAGUGCCAGAAUUAAUCAAACAAAUAUCUUCACAAUUGGACAACUUACUUUGAAAUUAUCCAUAUUUUCAAAUAAAAAAAAUAUACACACAAAAUAAACAAAUAUAUUAUUGCAGAAAGUGAAAUUCGUUCAUAAAUUAUUAAUUACUUUUAAGUAAUUAGUUACUACAUUAGAAUAUAAGUAACUAAAUUAUUAAUGCCAGUUGCCAGGCAUAAGUAACAUCACUCUAGCUUAACUCGACUUUAACUUUAUCAACUCAAUUCUAGUCCUUGAAUAUGCUAACCAAAAAGGAUAUAUAUAUACGAAUAAUUAAAAAGAAGAGGACAAGAAAAGCAAAUUGACCAAGUUGUUCGAUGCUGUUUUCUUUUGUUCACACUAUUUUCUUAAGAAAAGUAGUAUUAAAGCAAUUUGAUUAAUUUUUAGUGACGUCUUAAUUCAUUUGUUUACUCUGUUGUCUUUUUUUUUUCUUUUUUUUCUCGAUAGUAAAUAAUGACAAGAAAAAUAUUUAAUCAAGUUGGAAUGCAAUUAAAUUCAACAAUGAAUUUCAAUAACAUAAUUAAACUAACUAAUACUAAUACAAAAAAAAAAAACUAAUACUCAUGCAAACAACUACUUUUACAUAGUGUUUUAUUCACUAACUCUUAUCAAUAAACAAAUUGAAAAUCAUUCAUUCUUCCAUAUUUAUGGAAAAAUAACCAAUCAAGUGAUCAAUCUUUCCUUCAGGGUGCUCGAAAAAGUCUGCUAUAUCCAAGCUUGUGAUGUCAACAUUAUUUUCAGAGAGAAAAUUAGCCUUGGAAUUUCUCUCUUUUUUCUUUAGUGAUGCUUGAUAAAGAUCAAUCAAGUGCUUAAGAGCACAGCAGUCACGCGAAUAAUGUUCUUUUCCACCACAUUGGAAAUAAGUAAUUGCUUCACGUUUGUCAUCUUUUCUCUUUUUGUUCGAUGAGUGAUUAACACCUGGAACAGAGUUUCUUUCUUGGUCAUCACGACCACGACCGCGACUUUUUCCACGCCUAGCAUGGUGAGCAUGCACAUCAUUCACCUCAGGAAAUGGUGCAGAUCCAGUAGGUCAAUUCUUGUGAUUUUUCAUCAACAAAUCAUUAUUUUGUUCAGCCACAAGAAGAUGAGAACUCAGUUCAAUAUACUUCUUGAAACCCUUUUCUCAAUAUUGUUUCUGUAAGAGCACAUUCGAGGCAUGAAAAGUGGAGAGCGUUUUUUCCAUCAUAUCAUCAUCAUUGACCGUCUCUCCACAUAGUUUCAAUUGAGAAGAAAUUUUGAACAUGACAGAAUUAUACUCAUGAACAGACUUAUAGUCUUGAAAUCUCAGAUGCAUCCAUUCAUCUCGUGCUUUUGGGAGAAUGACCAUCUUUAAGUGGUCAAACCUCUCUUUUAGGCUAUUCCACAAUAUGAGUGGAUCCUUAGUAGUAAGGUAUUCAAUUUUUAGUACUCCGUUAAGAUGAUGAUGCAAAAAAAUCAUAGUCUUAGCACGAUUUUGACUAGAUGUUAUAUUUUCUUUCUUUAUGGUGUCUCCAAGACCCAUAAUAUCUAGGGGGAUUUCAACAUCCAGCACCCAUGAAAUGUAGUUCUUGCCCGAACUUUGAAGGGCAACGAACUCACACUUUGUAAGAUUGUUAGCCAUAUGAAAAAGAGAAGAAAAAUAAUACCUUAGCCUUAGGCAUCAAAUUUGAGAUGGUAAAGUCUCGUGCUAAUAAUGUGUUAUAAACUAAUAAAGAAUAAAGAAGAAGAGUAGAGAGAAUAGAGAGAGCAUUUCUUAUUUCUUUUGAGGGAUGAAUUACAAUGAGGGAAAACUCCUUUAUUUAUAGGGGAAAACUAACCAUGGGGUUUGUAACUUUUCCAUAAAUAGACAUACACAAUAUAUGAUAAAGUAGGUAUUCACUAUAUAUGGUAAAGUAGGCAUUCACUAUAUAUGGUAUAUUUAUAACAGUUAAUAUGAUACUUGUGCAUUUUAUUUCUUAUCAAAUUUAUGUCACUCAGUAAAGGAGGGGUUAUUUUGGGGACUUUGGAUUAAAAGGGACAAACAAGUUGUCCAAUUAAGUGAGGGUCCUUCAAGUUGUUAAAAUUAGGUGGGAGGGACAAAAAUUUUUUAAGUUUUUUUUUUAAAGUUUUUUCGUUCCAACAACUUCUCCCAGUUGUCGAACAAUUUUGAUAAUUGUUCAACAACUUGGUGAAGUUGUUCGACAACUACGCUAAGUUGUUCGACAACUGGGCGAAAUUGUUCGACAGCUGGGAGAAGUUAUUCAACAACUGUACGAAGUUGUUAAGACAACUAAUGCAGUUGUCGAACAACUGUCCCAGUUGUUCAAGAGACUUAAUUUUUUUAAAAGGGACAAGUUGCGAGAGCCACUUAUCCGCUUUUUUUAAUUGCAAACUUGGGAAGGGUCUUCUACCUCAUUUUUCUCGAUUGUUUUAUUAUAUAUUUCAUCAAAUGGAAACCUUUAACUUAAUAAGGAGUGAUUAUCUCUACCCGGGUGGUUUGAGGGUGUGAGAAUGGGUAGUUUAGGUUGGUAGGAAAGUCACGUUUAAAAAUUAUUUUCUUUUUUUUUUGAAGAUAAAAAAUAAUAAUACUAAAAAUAUUGACUAGUUGACUUUUUAUAGUAAGAAAAUAUAAGAAAAGUUAAUAAUUAUCCUAAAAUAAAUAUAAUUAAGAGAAUAAUAAAAUUACUAGCGUAUUUAUUAAAAUCUAAUAUAUUUUUUAAAAAUUUCAUAUUAUUUGAAAAUAAAAGUAAAAUAUAUCCUAAAAUAUAACUCUAUUUUUUUAAUCCUUUUUUCACAAUCUUUUAAAUGAAACCUACUAAAAAUGAAAUAAAAACUAAACUAAUAUUUUGAUGUAAGUAAAUAUUUAAUGCUAAAAAAUAAAUUAAAGUUUGAGAAGGAUCAACAAUCACGUUCUAUAAUUUUUAUUGUUCUUAUGAAAAAGGAGAAAUUCACAUGGAAAGACGAGUGAAAAUUAGGUCACGUGAAUAAACAAACUUCCGUAAGGAAUGUAUGGAAAAUAUAACAGAGGGAUGUUUUUGGUCAAGUUUUUAAAACUUAAAGAAUGUUUUAAGUGACAUAUUAUAAGGAUAAAGUUAAAGUUUGGGUGAAAUAAUAAGAAUGAUUUUGUCAAAAACUCGGAAUUUCGAAGAUGGUUUUCCAAUCUUUAUCCAAGUUCAGGUAGUUAUUCCUAUAAUUGAAAAUCCUUCCAAGUACUUUUAUAAAAUUCUCCAAAGAGAGUCAGCUUCUCUAUAUUGAUUCAACAUGUUACUGCCUCAAGAAAAACUCAGCGUUUUUUAAUUAAUUUAGCAUUGAUCACAUCCUUCAUAUGAAUUAUCUUUUUUUUUUUAUUUAUUAAAUUGGAGGAGGGAAGGGGAAUAGGGGAGGGGAUUACAAUGUGGGGAAUCGAACCCUCACAAAUAAGGUGGGAGUUCAGGUAACUAACCAACUAAGCUAUUAAGAUUCUCCCUUCUUAUUAAUUAUCAAAAGGGAAAAGGACAUGGGAUGACCAUUUUAAAAAAAAAAAAAAAAAAAAGGCCCAUAAUUGAAAAGGUGGACAACCUUAGCCAGUCGACCCAAUUUAAUUCCCUUUUUUACCUAUUUGACCCAAUUGGACACAUGCAGUUUCUACACUCAAUUGAUACACUUUUAUACCAAAUUGAUACACUUUUAUACUAUAUUGAUACACUUUCUAAGAAAGAGAAAGGAAAUUUUAUGCAAACACAUGCAGUCCCUAUACCCAAUUGAUACUCUUUUAUACCAUAUUAAUACACUUUUAUACUACAUUGAUAUACUUGCAGUGUCCAUAUACUCAAUUGAUACUCUCUUAUACUAGAAUGAUACAUUUUUAUAACAGAAAAAGACAUCCGCUGGCCAAUAGCAAAGAUAAUGGUCCAAGUUUGAUCAAUUGGACAUAAAGUAUAUCCUCGACCCAUUUUAUUUUCAUUGUGUAGCCUAUCGACGAUAAUUAAUUCCAUUUUGCAGCUUUUACAUGUAUACCUUUCUUUUGUCAUUUUCUUUUCAAAAUAGGUUUUCUCCAUUUUUUUUAUUGAUUUAUAUGUUAUUUUUGCAUUUACCCCAAAUUUUCUUCUUGCUUUUCCUCCGCUGUAAGCUCGAUAUGAUUUCAUUAUUUAUGAGCUUAUGAUGUAAAAGAGAAAAAUCAAAGUGUUUUAUGGCGUUCUCUUUGGAUGAUAAACAAUUCAAAUUUAGAUGUUGUUUAGGUGUUGGUUUGAUGCUAGUUACACAGUUGGUUUAGCAACAGCUAUUGUCCAUUUUAAUGUUGAAAGACGGUGGUGGAAGGGUGGAGAAGGAGUCAGCCGAUGUUAAUGGUGUUUGGGUUGAUUACAUGUUUUUUUUUUUUUUAUGAAAGAUUUAAUGAUGUUUAUGGGAUAGAGAAAAUGACAAAGAUAACAGAAAACUACUGAUCUUUCAUGGUGGAAUAUGAGUAGUGGUUUCAUGAACGAUGAAAGUAUAGGGGAAUAAGUGGAACAGUGAUAAAUGUAUCCCAGCUUCUCGCGUGCAUUUCUUAUUGGCUAUUUACCGGGUUUUAAAAUUUAGGUGCUAAUUUUGUGAAAUUAUUUUAGUUUUAAGUGUUAUUUUUGUCCUUUCCCCUUAUCAAAAGUCGUAAAAGGUUAUAUACAAUGUCAAUGCAUAAUAUUUAGACAUAUAAUGGAUUGACUUAUUUUUAGAUUCUUUUAGCUUUAACCACAAUUUCUGUUUUGAUGAUGUUUGGCAAAAUAAAAGAGUGCUUUUAAGCACUUAUUUUUACGUCAAAAAGUAUCAAAAUAAAUCAAAAGCCAAAAAUAGAGAAUAGUACCAACUUAUAACUUUUAAGCUCCUUAUUAAAAGUGAAUCCAUAACCUUGGACCAUAACAUUGAAAAUGUAAUUCUGACCAUAACAUUUCAAUACCAAAUUAAAGAAAACGAUCAACUUGUUAUUAAGUAAACCCGGUCUAUAUUAAUAAUCACCACAUAAUCUUCAUAUCCAACAAAUUAGAUCACAUUAGUACUAGUAAUUCUUUUUUCUUUAUUAUCCUCAACAACUUUUUUUAAUCAAUGGACCACUUGAGAAGUACUAGUAUUUGGUGCUCCAUCAAUCAAAUAUGGGACAACAAAUUGUUGCAUCUCUGGAAUAGUAAUUUCUAGGUGACGUCCUUGCGCCUUUAUGAACUUCACUUUUCCAGCUUUAUCCAAUAUUUGUAAUCCAAACAAAUCCUCUUUAUA